rnacentral:rRNA from 1 species
UACGUAGGGGGCAAGCGUUGCUCGGAAUUACUGGGCGUAAAGCGCACGUAGGCGGCUUCUUAAGUCGGUGGUGAAAUCCUGGAGCUCAACUCCAGAACUGCCUUUGAUACUGAGAGGCUUGAGUCCGGGAGAGGUGAGUGGAACUGCGAGUGUAGAGGUGAAAUUCGUAGAUAUUCGCAAGAACACCAGUGGCGAAGGCGGCUCACUGGCCCGGUACUGACGCUGAGGUGCGAAAGCGUGGGGAGCAAACAGG